rnacentral:rRNA from 1 species
AGUGAACGCUGGCGGCGUGCCUAAUACAUGCAAGUCGAACGGAGUGGCGCACGGGUGAGGAAGAUAUAGCUAAUCUGCGCCUUGCUGGAGGACAACAGGGAGAAAUGACUGCUAAUACUCCAUAGCAAGGGAUGAGACUAUAUCGUAUCAGAUAGUCGGUGGGGUAACGGCCUACCGAGGCUAUGACGGGUAACUGGACGGAGAGGAUGAUCAGUCACAUUGGAACUGAGGCACGGUCCAAACUCCUACGGGAGGCAGCAGUAGGGAAUAUUGCGCAAUGUGGGAAACCCUGACGCAGCAACGCCGCGUGGAGGAUGGCACUUUUCGGAGCGUAAACUCCUUUUGUUAGGGAAGCGGUAUCUAACGAAUAAGCACCGGCUAACUCCGUGCCAGCAGCCGCGGUAAUUC